AGCAUCGGUCUUGUAAACCGAAGGUCGUGGGUUCGAUUCCCAUUGAUGGCU
rnacentral:tRNA from 1 species